AGAGUUUGAUCCUGGCUCAGAACGAACGCUGGCGGCGUGCUUAACACAUGCAAGUCGAACGUGAUCCAGAGCUUGCUCUGGUGAAAGUGGCGCACGGGUGAGUAACGCGUGGAUAACCUGCCCUGGUAUCUGGGAUAACAUCUCGAAAGGGGUGCUAAUACCGGAUAAGCCUCCGGGAUCUUCGGAUUCUGCAGGAAAAGAAGGCCUCUAUUUAUAAGCUUUCGUAUCAGGAUGGGUCCGCGUACCAUUAGCUAGUUGGUGGGGUAAUGGCCUACCAAGGCGACGAUGGUUAGCUGGUCUGAGAGGAUGAUCAGCCACACUGGAACUGAGACACGGUCCAGACUCCUACGGGAGGCAGCAGUGGAGAAUUUUGCGCAAUGGGGGAAACCCUGACGCAGCAACGCCGCGUGAGUGAUGAAGGCUUUCGGGUCGUAAAGCUCUGUCAGAGGGGAAGAAAUGGGUCGUGCUAAUAUCACGGCUUCUUGACGGUACCCUCAAAGGAAGCACCGGCUAACUCCGUGCCAGCAGCCGCGGUAAUAC
rnacentral:rRNA from 2 species